rnacentral:rRNA from 1 species
UACGAAGGGAGCUAGCGUUGUUCGGAAUCACUGGGCGUAAAGCGCACGUAGGCGGAUGUGUCAGUCAGGGGUGAAAUCCCGGAGCUCAACUUCGGAACUGCCUCUGAUACAGCACGUCUUGAGUCCGAUAGAGGUGGGGUGGAAAUUCCUAGUGUAGAGGUGAAAAUUCGUAGAUAUUAGGGAAAGAACACCGGUGGCGA